CAAAAGUUCGUUCGAGUAGGAAAAGUAGUUUGAGUGCGGGAAAUUAAAGUUUCGGAUAGUUUUGCGAAAAAAGGAAGUGUUUUGGUGUAGGAGAAAGUUGGAUUUAUUGAAAGGUCAGCUCUGCACACCUGAUUCCAAGCGAACCUCCGACGAAUCUACCGUGCCUAGAUGCUAGUUUGUUCCUUGCUGCAAACCUAAGUUGCAAGCAACCAACAAUCCGCCACCGGUACCAGGAACCGUCACUGAGGGUGAUUUGUACCUGACGAGUGGAAAGGAGAAGAUAAGGAAGAGAGGAAGGAAGGGGUGAAGGAAGGAGUUUGGAAAGCGUAGAAGGAAGACCAAUUAAGUGAGUAAACUUAAACCUAGAAUGUAAACAAAAAACUUAAAAUAUACUUACUUCUAGUUUUGAAGCUGCUACGUAAAGCUGCUGAUCAAAAA